rnacentral:rRNA from 1 species
CACGCCAGGCCUGUCGAGGAAAGUGAAACUGAAAAGUGAAACUGCGAAUGGCUCAUUAAAUCAGUUAUGGUUCCUUUGAUCGCUCACCCGCUACUUGGAUAACUGUGGCAAUCCGAGAGCUAAUACAUGCAAACGAGCGCUGACCUCCGAGGAUGCGUGCAUUUAUCAGACCUAAAACGGGGUGCUGCCGCGUGGUGGCCCCCGGUUCGUUUGGUGACUCUGGAUAACCUUGGGCCGAUCGCUCGCCCCCCGUGGCGGCGACGACUCAUUCGAAUGUCUGCCCUAUCAACUUUCGAUGGUACUCUACGUGCCUACCAUGUUGACCACGGGUAACGGGGAAUCAGGGUUUGAUUUCGGAGAGGGAGCCUGAGAAAUGGCUACCACAUCCAAGGAAGGCAGCAGGCGCGCAAAUUACCCAUUCACAACAUGUGGAGGUAGUGACGAAAAAUAACAAUACAGGACUCUUUCGAGGCCCUGUAAUUGGAAUGAGUAGACUUUAAAUCCUUGGGCGAGUACCCAUUGGAGGGCAAGUCUGGUGCCAGCAGCCACGGUAAUUCCAGCUCCAAUAGUGUAUCUUAAAGUUGCUGCAGUUAAAAAGCUCAUAGUUGGAUCUCAGGGCUGGGUUGUCGGUCCGUCGAGAGGCGUGCCACCAGCUGCCCCGGCCCCUGCCCUCGGUGCCCCCUCGAUGCUCUUGGUUGAGUGUCUCAUUUGGGGUUCGAAGUGUUUACUUAGGAAAAAAUGUACGCUGAAUUUUUUCCUCUUCCGGCCAAGCGCCCCUUCAAUGCUAAACGCGUAAUGCUCGAUCUAGUGCCAGUCGUGUCCCCAUAUG